AACGAACGCUGGCGGCGCGCCUAAUACAUGCAAGUCGAGCGAGAAGACGUAGCAAUACGUUUGUAAAGCGGCGAACGGGUGAGGAAUACAUGGGUAACCUACCCUCGAGUGGGGAAUAACUAGCCGAAAGGUUAGCUAAUACCGCGUACGCUCCUUGGACUUCGGUUCAGGGGGGAAAGGACGAUACCGUCGGGUAGUCGCGCUCUUGG
rnacentral:rRNA from 1 species